GACGAACGCUGGCGGCGUGCUUAACACACGCAAGUCGAACGGAAAGGCCCUGCUUUUGUGGGGUGCUCGAGUGGCGAAAGGGUGAGUAACACGUGAGUAACCUGCCCUUGACUUUGGGAUAACUUCAGGAAACUGGGGCUAAUACCGGAUAGGAGCUCCUGCUGCAUGGUGGGGGUUGGAAAGUUUCGGCGGUUGGGGAUGGACUCGCGGCUUAUCAGCUUGUUGGUGGGGUAGUGGCUUACCAAGGCUUUGACGGGUAGCCGGCCUGAGAGGGUGACCGGCCACAUUGGGACUGAGAUACGGCCCAGACUCCUACGGGAGGCAGCAGUGGGGAAUUUUGCACAAUGGGCGGAAGCCUUAUGCAGCAACGCCGCGUGCGGGAUGACGGCCUUCGGGUUGUAAACCGCUUUCGCCUGUGACGAAGCGUAAGUGACGGUAAUGGGUAAAGAAGCACCGGCUAACUACGUG
rnacentral:rRNA from 1 species